rnacentral:rRNA from 1 species
UACGUAGGUGGCAAGCGUUGUCCGGAAUUAUUGGGCGUAAAGCGCGCGCAGGCGGUCCUUUAAGUCUGAUGUGAAAGCCCACGGCUCAACCGUGGAGGGUCAUUGGAAGCUGGAGGACUUGAGUACAGAAGAGGAAAGCGGAAUUCCACGUGUAGCGGUGAAAUGCGUAGAGAUGUGGAGGAACACCAGUGGCGAAGGCGGCUUUCUGGUCUGUAACUGACGCUGAGGCGCGAAAGCGUGGGGAGCAAACAGG